rnacentral:rRNA from 1 species
CCUACGGGUGGCAGCAGUGAGGAAUAUUGGUCAAUGGGCGCAAGCCUGAACCAGCCAAGCCGCGUGAAGGAAGACUGCCCUACGGGUUGUAAACUUCUUUUGUAAAGGAGUAAAGUGAGGCACGUGUGCCUUUUUGUAUGUACUUUAUGAAUAAGGAUCGGCUAACUCCGUGCCAGCAGCCGCGGUAAUACGGAGGAUCCGAGCGUUAUCCGGAUUUAUUGGGUUUAAAGGGAGCGUAGGUGGGUUGUUAAGUCAGUUGUGAAAGUUUGCGGCUCAACCGUAAAAUUGCAAUUGAUACUGGCAGUAUUGAGUACAGGUGAGGUAGGCGGAAUUCGUGGUGUAGCGGUGAAAUGCUUAGAUAUCACGAAGAACUCCGAUUGCGAAGGCAGCUUACUAAACUGCCACUGACAUUGAUGCUCGAAAGUGUGGGGAUCAAACAGGAUUAGAUACCCGGGUAGUC